UACGGAGGGGGCCAGCGUUGUUCGGAAUUAUUGGGCGUAAAGGGCGCGUAGGUGGUCUUGUAUGUCUACCGUGAAAGCGUACGGCUCAACCGUAUUUUGUCGGUAGAAACUGCAGGACUUGAGGCUGGGAGGGGCUGGUGGAAUUCCCUGUGUAGCGGUGAAAUGCGUAGAGAUGGGGGAGAACACUCGUGGCGAAGGCGGCCAGCUAGACCAGUUCUGACACUGAGGCGCGACAGCGUGGGGAGCAAACAGG
rnacentral:rRNA from 1 species